rnacentral:rRNA from 1 species
UACGGAGGGCGCGAGCGUUAAUCGGAAUUACUGGGCGUAAAGCGCGCGUAGGCUGUUGUGUAAGUUGGGGGUGAAAUCCCACGGCUCAACCGUGGAACAGCCCUUGAUACUGCGCGACUUGAAUCCGGGAGAGGGUGGCGGAAUUCCAGGUGUAGGAGUGAAAUCCGUAGAUAUCUGGAGGAACAUCAGUGGCGAAGGCGGCCACCUGGACGGGUAUUGACGCUGAGGCGCGAAAGCGUGGGGAGCAAACAGG